UUUCCGUAGGUGAACCUGCGGAAGGAUCAUUAAUGAGUUGUCAUGGGGUUCGAUGCUGGCAGCCAGUUUUUGGAUGCAUGUGCUUGCCCUAACAAUCAUCUUCUUCCAAACACCUGUGCACAUUUUUGAGGGAGUCUUGAGUUGGUUGCCGCUCUUGGGUGAUUUUCUCACAUUCCCUUAAAUCAUUAUACGCUACUAACAAUGUUGAACGUGCUCUGUGCCGCAAGGCCAUUAAUAUAAUACAACUUUUAACAACGGAUCUCUUGGCUCUC
rnacentral:misc_RNA from 1 species